UACGUAGGGUCCGAGCGUUGUCCGGAAUUAUUGGGCGUAAAGAGUUCGUAGGCGGUUUGUCGCGUCGUUCGUGAAAACUUGGGGCUUAACUCCAAGCGUGCGGGCGAUACGGGGCAGACUUGAGUACUGCAGGGGGAGACUGGAAUUCCUGGUGUAGCGGUGGAAUGCGCAGAUAUCAGGAGGAACACCGGUGGCGAAGGCGGGUCUCUGGGCAGUAACUGACGCUGAGGAGCGAAAAGCGUGGGGGAGCGAACAGG
rnacentral:rRNA from 1 species